GCGGGCAUGGUGUAGUGGUAACAUUGUCCACUCAGUUGACCGGGCAGUCCAGGGUUCGAUUCCCUGUGUCUGAC